rnacentral:rRNA from 1 species
CUACGGGCGGCUGCAGUGGGGAAUUUUGCGCAAUGGGGGAAACCCUGACGCAGCAAUACCGCGUGAGUGAAGAAGGCCUUUGGGUCGUAAAGCUCUUUUCUUGGGGAAGAUAGUGACGGUACCCAAGGAAUAAGCACCGGCUAACUCCGUGCCAGCAGCCGCGGUAAUACGGAGGGUGCAAGCGUUGUUCGGAUUUACUGGGCGUAAGGGCACGUAGGCGGCACAGCAAGUUAAGGGUGAAAUCCCGGGGCUCAACUCCGGAACUGCUCUUAAAACUGCUGAGCUAGAGAUAGUCAGAGGCGGGUGGAAUUCCAGGUGUAGAGGUGAAAUUCGUAGAUAUCUGGAGGAACACCGGUGGCGAAGGCGGCCCGCUGGGGCUAUUCUGACGCUAAGGUGCGAAAGCGUGGGGAGCAAACGGGAUUAGAUACCCUAGUAGUC